AGUGAACGCUGGCGGCAGGCCUAACACAUGCCAGUCGAGCGGCAGCGGGUCCUUCGGGAUGCCGGCGAGCGGCGGACGGGUGAGGAAUACAUCGGAAUCUGCCCUGUCGUGGGGGAUAACCUAGGGAAACUUAGGCUAAUACCGCAUACGACCUACGGGUGAAAGCGGGGGAUCGCAAGACCUCGCGCGACAGGAUGAGCCGAUGUCCGAUUAGCUAGUUGGCGGGGUAAAGGCCCACCAAGGCGACGAUCGGUAGCUGGUCUGAGAGGAUGAUCAGCCACACUGGGACUGAGACACGGCCCAGACUCCUACGGGAGGCAGCAGUGGGGAAUAUUGGACAAUGGGCGCAAGCCUGAUCCAGCCAUGCCGCGUGGGUGAAGAAGGCCUUCGGGUUGUAAAGCCCUUUUGUCCGGGAAGAAAUCGUCUGGGCUAAUACCCCGGGCGGAUGACGGUACCGGAAGAAUAAGCACCGGCUAACUUCGUG
rnacentral:rRNA from 1 species